CCUACGGGAGGCAGCAGUGGGGAAUAUUGCACAAUGGGGGAAACCCUGAUGCAGCGACGCCGCGUGGAGGAAGAAGGUCUUUCGGAUUGUAAACUCCUGUUGUUGAGGAAUGAUAAUGACGGUACUCAACAAGGAAGUGACGGCUAACUACGUGCCAGCA
rnacentral:rRNA from 1 species